GGAGGGAUCAUUACCGAGUUAUACAACUCAUCAACCCUGUGAACAUACCUAAAACGUUGCUUCGGCGGGAACAGACGGCCCCGUAACACGGGCCGCCCCCGCCAGAGGACCCCCUAACUCUGUUUCUAUUAUGUUUCUUCUGAGUAAAACAAGCAAAUAAAUUAAAACUUUCAACAACGGAUCUCUUGGCUCUGGCAUCGAUGAAGAACGCAGCGAAAUGCGAUAAGUAAUGUGAAUUGCAGAAUUCAGUGAAUCAUCGAAUCUUUGAACGCACAUUGCGCCCGCCAGUAUUCUGGCGGGCAUGCCUGUUCGAGCGUCAUUACAACCCUCAGGCCCCCGGGCCCGGCGUUGGGGAUCGGCGAGGCGCCCCCUGCGGGCACACGCCGUCCCCCAAAUACAGUGGCGGUCCCGCCGCAGCUUCCAUUGCGUAGUAGCUAACACCUCGCAACUGGAGAGCGGCGCGGCCACGCCGUAAAACACCCAACUUCUGAAUGUUGACCUCGAAUCAGGUAGGAAUACCCGCUGAACUUAAGCAUAU
rnacentral:misc_RNA from 1 species